rnacentral:rRNA from 1 species
GACGAACGCUGGCGGCGUGCCUAAUACAUGCAAGUCGUGCGGACUUUGCGGGAGCUUGCUCCCAAGAAGUUAGCGGCGGACGGGUGAGUAAAACGUGGGCAACCUGCCUGAAAGAGUGGGAUAACAUUCGGAAACGAAUGCUAAUACCGGAUAGGCAGCGAAGAGACAUCACUUUGCCGAGAUAGGCUCUAUAGCGUCACUGUCGGAUGGGCCCGCGGCGCAUUAGCUAGUUGGUGGGGUAACGGCCUACCAAGGCGACGAUGCGUAGCCGACCUGAGAGGGUGACCGGCCACACUGGGACUGAGACACGGCCCAAACUCCUACGGGAGGCAGCAGUAGGGAAUCUUCCACAAUGGGCGAAAGCCUGAUGGAGCAACGCCGCGUGAGUGAUGAAGGCCUUCGGGUUGUAAAACUCUGUCUUCUGGGACGAACGGCGAAGAGAGGGAAUGCUCUUGGAUUGACGGUACCAGAGGAGGAAGCCACGGCUAACUACGUGCCAGCAGCCGCGGUAAUAC